rnacentral:piRNA from 1 species
UAAGGAUAAUACGCCUGCCUCCCUAGAAU